GACGAACGCUGGCGGCGUGCCUAAUACAUGCAAGUAGAACGCUGAAGGAGGAGCUUGCUCUUCUGGAUGAGUUGCGAACGGGUGAGUAACGCGUAGGUAACCUGCCUGGUAGCGGGGGAUAACUAUUGGAAACGAUAGCUAAUACCGCAUAAUAGUAGAUGUUGCAUGAUAUUUACUUAAAAGGUGCAAUUGCACCACUACCAGAUGGACCUGCGUUGUAUUAGCUAGUUGGUGGGGUAACGGCUCACCAAGGCGACGAUACAUAGCCGACCUGAGAGGGUGAUCGGCCACACUGGGACUGAGACACGGCCCAGACUCCUACGGGAGGCAGCAGUAGGGAAUCUUCGGCAAUGGACGAAAGUCUGACCGAGCAACGCCGCGUGAGUGAAGAAGGUUGUCGGAUCGUAAAGCUCCGUUGUAAGAGAAGAACGAGUGUGAGAGUGGAAAGUUCACACUGUGACGGUAUCUUACCAGAAAGGGACGGCUAACUACGUG
rnacentral:rRNA from 1 species